AACUCCCCAGGGGAUUCUCAUGUGUAGCAGAGUGUGAGAACCUCUGAUCUAAGCAGAGUGGGGUGAAUGUUUACUGGGUUUCCUUUCAUUGGUUUUAGUUGUGAGCAACAGACUGACAAGCGGGACACAGGCUUCAAGGGCAAUGCCAGAAAACACGCGGCCAAGUGCAUGGAAUACAAGGCGAGCGGAAAGAAGCCUGAGACCCAGGUUCCCAGCCUGUGCCAGAUGCUUCAUGUUUGUUACUUAACAACCAAUCCCAGGAGGAAAUCCUGCUGGGCCUGGAAGAAAUGUCAGUGUGGGAAGAUCUCCAGCAAGACAUCUCCAUAAAUCUUUUCCUGUUUUCCGCUUGAAAGACCAGAUUUGAAAGAGUCAGGAGCGGCGGCCGCGG